AUGUUACUGGUGCAGGUUCUUAUUGUGGCUUCAAUUUGGUCAUAUGGAGCUGCACAAGUACAACUGACACAAGAUCAGUUAUCCAUCACAAGGAAUCUGAUGAAAACAGUAAGAAUUGACUGUAAAGUUUCUGGCAUCAAUUUUGGUGAUGCUUAUAUACACUGGUAUCGACAGAGACCUGGAGAAGCUCCGGAGUGGAUACUCUACUUUAAGACACAAACUGAAAAAUCAAAUUUUGACAAGGAGAAGUUUAGCAUUCACAAGACAACUGAAAAAUCCACCUGUACCCUAACAGUAGACAAACUAACCUACAAUGACACGGCUACCUAUUACUGUGCCUACUGGGAUCGCACAAU